UACAGAGGGUGCGAGCGUUAAUCGGAAUUACUGGGCGUAAAGCGCACGUAGGUGGCGACGUAAGUCGGGUGUGAAAGCCCCGGGCUCAACCUGGGAAUGCCAUUCGAGACUGCAUAGCUAGGGUGCGGAAGAGGGAAGCGGAAUUUCCGGUGUAGCGGUGAAAUGCGUAGAUAUCGGAAGGAACACCAGUGGCGAAAGCGGCUUCCUGGUCCAGCACCGACGUUCAGGCACGAAAGCGUGGGGAGCAAACAGG
rnacentral:rRNA from 1 species